rnacentral:lncRNA from 1 species
AGGAAGCUCACUAAUCAACCAGGGCUACGAUAUAUGUACUCAUGGAGGGUACAUUAAAUAGGUCUGCACAGUUUUCUUCAAUCUUCAUUAGCAAACAGCUCUUCACAUAUCUAGGUCAUUGGAUUUCUGUAACUUUUCUUGCCCUAAAACCCCUAAUUCAUUACACUAAGAAGAGAAUAUAAUUUAUUGAUCAAAAAUGUCAUAUAUGAUUAUCUGUUAUAGAAAAACAUUAUUUAUACUGUUUUUUGUUUUUUAUUACAAGAAGUGAAACCUUGUGAUUUUCCAGAAAUUCAACAUGGAGGUCUAUAUUAUAAGAGUUUGCGUAGACUAUACUUUCCAGCAGCUGCAGGACAAUCUUAUUCCUAUUACUGUGAUCAAAAUUUUGUGACUCCUUCAGGAAGUUACUGGGAUUACAUUCAUUGCACACAAGAUGGUUGGUCACCAACGGUCCCAUGCCUCAGAACAUGCUCAAAAUCAGAUGUAGAAAUUGAAAAUGGAUUCAUUUCUGAAUCUUCCUCUAUUUAUAUUUUAAAUGAAGAAACACAAUAUAAUUGUAAACCAGGAUAUGCAACAGCAGAGGGAAAUUCUUCAGGAUCAAUUACAUGUUUGCAAAAUGGAUGGUCAACACAACCAAUUUGCAUUAGUAAGUUAUUUACAUAUUCCCACUCAGUUUCUGUCAACUUCUUUCCUCUCUUUGAGGUGAUAGUGUUUUACAGAAAAAGAUAGAAAACACUUUUAGGAGUAAAGAGAUAUAAAUACUUCUAACAUCAUCUAACAUUCUGUGCCAAACUAAGUCUUUUUUGCCUUUUUAGAGUAAUGGCUACUUGGGAAGAUGAUCAUUCCAUCUCUCUCAAUUCAAUUUGCCUUUACGUAAAAGCAAUCCCAUCAGGUACAGACUAGUUAGGGAGCUGCAUGGGAAUAUCAGCACAAUGUAUUACUUGUCAAUAAAAACUUUGUUCUUUUCCCUUUCUUUGUAUUUCAAAAUUAUCAACUGCUUGUAUUGUAUUCCUUGCUCACACUCUUAAGAUGUACAUGUUAGGGAAGGGAUGAGUGCUUAAUUCUGAGUUUCUGCUAGCAUCAGGAAAAUGAGACUUCAAUAAUUUGUAUCAAUGAUGCAACUGAGGAGAACCAACUCAAAAAAUUAUUUCCAGCUUAUUGUCUAGUACAG